GACGAACGCUGGCGGCGUGCUUAACACAUGCAAGUCGAACGGAAAGGCCCCUUUGGGGGUACUCGAGUGGCGAACGGGUGAGUAACACGUGAGUAACCUGCCCUUGACUUCGGGAUAACUUCAGGAAACUGGGGCUAAUACCGGAUAGGAAUCCUUGCUGCAUGGUGGGGGUUGGAAAGCUUCGGCGGUUUUGGAUGGACUCGCGGCUUAUCAGCUUGUUGGUGGGGUAGUGGCUUACCAAGGCUUUGACGGGUAGCCGGCCUGAGAGGGCGACCGGCCACAUUGGGACUGCGAUACGGCCCAGACUCCUACGGGAGGCAGCAGUGGGGAAUAUUGCACAAUGGGCGGAAGCCUGAUGCAGCAACGCCGCGUGCGGGAUGACGGCCUUCGGGUUGUAAACCGCUUUCAGCAGGGGCGAAGCUUGUGGUGACGGUACCUGCAGAAGAAGCACCGGCUAACUACGUG
rnacentral:rRNA from 1 species